CCUACGGGAGGCAGCAGUGGGGAAUAUUGGACAAUGGGGGCAACCCUGAUCCAACCAUGCCGCGUGUGUGAAGAAGGCCCUCGGGUUGUAAAGCACUUUCAGUGAGGAAGAACGCCUGGUGGUUAAUACCCAUCAGGAAAGACAUCACUCACAGAAGAAGCACCGGCUAACUCCGUGCCAGCAGCCGCGGUAAUACGGAGGGUGCGAGCGUUAAUCGGAAUUACUGGGCGUAAAGCGCGCGUAGGUGGCUUGAUAAGCCGGUUGUGAAAGCCCCGGGCUCAACCUGGGAACGGCAUCCGGAACUGUCAAGCUAGAGUGCAGGAGAGGAAGGUAGAAUUCCCGGUGUAGCGGUGAAAUGCGUAGAGAUCGGGAGGAAUACCAGUGGCGAAGGCGGCCUUCUGGACUGACACUGACACUGAGGUGCGAAAGCGUGGGUAGCAAACAGGAUUAGAUACCCUUGUAGUC
rnacentral:rRNA from 1 species